CACGUAGGGCGCAAGGCGUUGUCCGGAAUUAUUGGGUGCGUAAAGAGCUCGUAGGCGGUCUGUUACGUCUGCUGUGAAAACCCAGGGCUUGAACCCUGGGCUUGCAGUGGAUACGGGGCAGACUAGAGGCAGGUAGGGGGAGAAUGGAAAUUCCCGGUGUAGCGGUGAAAUGCGCAGAUAUCGGGAGGAACACCGGUGGCGAAGGCGGUCACUGGCC
rnacentral:rRNA from 1 species